CUAGUUACAGUAUCAGCACGCCCUCUAGAAAGAGCGGAGAGUGGAAUGGCAGUUUACCAGCUACAUCUGCGCGUCCCCUGGACAAUAACGAGGUGGUAGGUGAGAAGCCUGACCACGGAAACGGGGGUGAGAAGCACUGCAGGAAUGGAGGUGUUUAAUAUGACGGCCACACCGCUGCUGGAACUCCCUGUGUGAGAGAGGGAGAGAGCAGCAGCUCGUUUGAAGUCUGCGACUGAGCCUCUCAUCAAACGGCAGUUCUGCAGCCGUCUCAGCCCGUUCCCUCACACACACACACACCCCCAAUACCUCCUCUCACACUUUGCAUCCCACCUAGUUUUGAUCCCCUUCAUAGUUCAUACCAUAGAUGACACAGUCACCGAUGACCAACAUCAAAUACUCCCAGACGGCGGCCAUAUUGUUUUCUCCCCCAUAUCACUUUUCGGUCUCACUCCCAAACCUCGUUCACAUUGGGACAGUGAAACAGUCAGAGGGACAGAGACUCCAACUCAUGUCUUUGUUACAGAUAUGUUUAUAUUGACUAAUAAGUCCAUAUGUAUGGGCUCCUAUAUGUCGAUCUUUCAGGACUUAUGUCUAUCUAUUUAGUCAUUAAACUAGACAUCUGUAUUGUCAUUCUAUUUAGA